rfam:Lysinibacillus xylanilyticus strain DSM 23493 Scaffold2, whole genome shotgun sequence.
GUGAAAUAAAUCACAAAACAAACAUACACCCCUUUGUUUGAACGUGAACAUUUCUCCCAUCCCCUUUGUGAAAAAGAAGCGUCACUAUCUGUCGAGGAUAGUGGCGCUUCUUU